rnacentral:lncRNA from 1 species
CGUAAACUGGCGAGGGGCGCAGGGGACGGCAGGGAGGAAACUACGCGGUGAGCGCCAGCGUGAUCCCGGAGCGGCCUUUGCGCGCUCGCUGCGCGCCUUUGUGAGGGGGUCGGUGGAGAGAAAGAACCUCGGUGCUCGGGACGGGGAGGAGGUGGGAGGCCCCCCCUGCUUGCCCGGCCUCGCCGCCUCCCCGACCCAGCGCCGCUCCCCUCGGUUUUUCCGCACCGUGUCAACACCUCACCCGGCUGCAGGGUGCUUGAGAAGGUGCCUGCUCAAGGAUUUGUUCUCAGUACAGAGGUCUUCCAGAGAUACAAAGAAAAGGCUCCCGCUGUCCAUUAGGAGAUGCGCAAUCUGAGGCUAGAAACAUGGACUUCAGCCAAGUCCAAGUUGCUCGAAAAACCCAAACAAACUUCCAAUUUAAGGUAGACCUUGCUUCAAACAUGAUCUGGAUGAAUUUGUUCCCCAGCAUCCAGCAGCUUUUAAUGUAAAAAAGAAUCAUUAAUAUGGCGUAUUUUGUGGCAUCAUCAAAAGUCUCCUGAGGGAAAAAAAUAUUUUAAAGGAAACAGCAUUAGCAUUCUUUUUAUCCCCUUCUAGCCUGUUGGCAUGAUAGUAUCAG